ACGCGCGCCAUAGAUAAAUUAGUGUUACUUAAGAGAAAUGCGCGUAAACUGUACGAGAUUCGCGUGGAAACUCAUCCUUCUUGAGUCAAAUAAUUUAAAUGAAAAACGCAAAAAUAAAGCAAAAAUGGAAAAAAAGAAAUCGACUGAAUGAGUCAACCAUUCGAGAAGAUAGAAAUAAAUUUCGUAGGGGAAAGAAGAGAGAGAAGCAUCAAAUCUGCAAUUUAGAUAACAUCUCGUCAUUAUGUAUUUGCAAACUCUGUUCCUGCGGAUAUAUAUGCUCGAAGGUGUUGGCAAAAUAUCUUUAUGAUUCUAUAUUUGAAUUGCAUCUCGAAGUUUUCGAGAUUUUUUUCGAGCAAUCUUAAUAAAGCUUUUAUUAUCU